GUCCAGCCGCCGCGGUAAUACCGGCAGCUCGAGUGAUGUCCAAUAUUAUUGGGCCUAAAGCGUCCGUAGCUGGCCGCGCAAGUCCGUCGGGAAAUCCACCUGCCCAACAGGUGGGCGUCCGGCGGAAACUGUGUGGCUUGGAACCGGGAGGCUCAGAGGGUACGUCCGGGGUAGGAGUGAAAUCCCGUAAUCCCGGACGGACCACCGAUGGCGAAAGCACUCUGAGAAGACGGCUUCGACAGUGAGGGACGAAAGCUAGGGUCUCGAACCGGAUUAGAAACCCUAGUGUCC
rnacentral:rRNA from 1 species